AUUCAAAAAUUAUAAAUUUUUUGAUACUACUUCACUUAUUCCACCACUAAUUUAUCACAUUUUUUAUAGUGGAGCAUUUAAUUCUAUACAUUGGACAUGACCAAACCUUUUUAUAAAACAAACUUUUUGUCUAUAACAGAUAAAUUAAAGCAAAGGCUUUAGUGCUUUUUUCUUGCCGGUGGAAGCCAAAAAUCCAAUUGAAUCCACCAUAAAAACAAUCUUAAAAGAAAAAGGACAAGUAUGACAAUAUCAAAAACCAUAGUCAACCACAUAGCCAAAAUCUCAUUGAAUGAAAAGAUCAGCAGAAUCCAAACAACCAUGGAUGAUACUGAACAAAUCACAGAUCCAUAGAUGCUAGAAUUCGAUUGCCUUGUCUUGCAUAGUCAAUAGAUGCGACCUUUAACUUCCUUUAUACCAUUCUCUCGUGAAUUUUUUUUUUUUAAACUUCCAAUACCAUUCUGCAUGCACAUCCUCAUAGCUGUAGAAUACUAGUUUCCUUC
rnacentral:misc_RNA from 1 species